UGCUGCUGCCUGAUUGCAUACUUCCGGUUCCAAAUGAGGUGUGAUUUACCAGUCAGUCAGUAACUCUAUUGUUUGCAACUCUGAGUUUCUACUAUAUUAUCUCUUCUAUGUGAAAUUCACUUAUUUUUUCCAAAGCAAAAACAUACAGCAAGCUUUAAUGCAGUGGUUCUCAUCUGAUUAUUCAUUGUGGGCCACAGGGGCCAGUUGGCAGGGCAGUGGCCCUGGAGCUUGCGGGGCCAGGUGGCUGCCCCCAACCCCGCCAUGUGGGGUGGGCCGGCUGCUCAUCCUGGACCCCCUCUGCAUAGCUGUCCCAGACCCUGCCAUGCGGGAUGAGACGGCUGCCCUGCAUCCUGCCACAUGGGGCUGAAGUUUACAGGGCCGUGUGGCUGCCCUGACUCCGGAACCCCACCAGGCGGCUGACCUGGGCCCCAGAGCUCAUGGGCCCUGCUGGUUGCCCUGAAUACCACGGGGCCAGAGCUUGCAGGGCCGGGCGGCUGCCCCAGACUCCAGAGCUUGUGGGUCUGCCAGAAGCCCCAGGCCCCAACCGCAUGGGGCUGGCCAGGAGCCCAAUCCCACGGGGUCCACCAGCAGCCCCAACCCCUCCCCUGCUGCACUGGGCAGCGGGGCAGCCCAGCUGGACCCCUCCACAUGUGGUGGCUGGAAACCCACUGGACCCUGGCCAUGUGGUCUGGCCUUUAGCACACAGCUGAGCUGGGCUGCAGCUGUGUGCUAAUUGGGCUGCGUGCAGCCCACGGUUGAGAACCGCUGUUUUAACUGUUCACUAACUUUUCUGAGGUUUUAUAUUUGAAUUACUAAUUUUUAAGACUACUUUUUAUCCAACUACAUUAAGACUAUAUUUUAUAAUACAUUGUUACAUGUAUUACAUACAUAGUAAUACAAAAUAUUGUGUAGUCCAUUAUGAAAUUCUAGCUAAGAGAUUGUUGUUUUAGAAAUAGCGCCCUACCAAAUUCACAGUCCAUUUUGGUCAAUUUCAGUCGUAGGAUAUUAAAAAUUGUAAAUUUCAUGAUUUCAGCUCUUUAAAAAUGAAAUUUCAUGGUGGUGUAAUUGUAGGGGUCUUGACCCAAAAAGGACUUGAGUGGGUCACAAGGUUAUUCUAGGGGAGGUUGCGAUACUGCUACUCUUCUGUGCUCCUGGCAUCAGUGCUGCCUUCAGAGCUGGGUAGCUGGAGAGCGGCGGCUGCUGGCUAGGAGCCUAGCUCUGAAGGCAGAGCCGUGGCCAGCAGCAGCAGCACAGAAGUAAGGAUGGCGUGGGUUUGCCAUCCUUACUUCUGCACUACUGCUGAUAGGGUGCUGACUUCAGAGCUAGGCGCCCGGCCAACAGCAGCCACUCUCCGGCCACCCAGCUCUGAAGGCAGCACAGAAGCGACGGUGGAAAUACCACAACCCCCCUAAAAUAACCUUGUGACCCCCUGCAACCUCCUUUGGCGUCAGGACCCGCAAUUUGAGCAAUGCUGGUUUCCCCCAUAUAAUCUGUAUAAUACAGGGUAAAAGCGCACACAAGACCAGAUUUCACUGUUUGUAACGUGUUUUUCAUGGCCGUGAAUUUGGUAGGGCCCUAUUUAUAAAACAAUGUCUAAGCAGUAUUUCAUAUUUUGAACAGCCACAAUAUUGCACAAUAGGAUAAUAAACUCAAUUACAGUGCAGCCUCUUGCAAGUAAACAACAGAGGUAGAACACAAAACUUGCAGUGAUUCUGGGUAAGAAUGUGGUAUUUGAAGUCUGCAAAAGUAAGAGUUUCAGAAACUUGUAUGUUGAUGAGGUACAGAUGUAGGAAUCAUGUAUGUAUAGGAAUGAAUUUAUGUUGCUGACGCCUGCACUAUAUCUAAAUAUAUAAAUUGAAUCGAAAAUGGACUGUUCGGCUUUCAAAUUUUCUUUCUAUAUUCCUGGAUUAUUUUAGAGUUAAACUGCAAAGGCAACAUUUGCAAGCAAUACAUAUAUGGUAUCUCUGGGGUAAUUAGUUACAUAAAGCAGCAGUACCAUGAUUAUUAAUUCUCAGAUUUCAUAUUCAUAGCAAAAUACUUAAGGUUAUGGACUUCAGCUCUGAAAUUCCACAAUAAUGGUUGUAUUGACUACUCAGUAUAUUUACCCACAUAAUUUCUGAAGUGAUUUAGACUGGCAAUAUUUUGUCAGUCAGUGAUUGCAAACAGCAUUUAGCAAAACUGAAAACAUGCUUGCUUAGAUAUUCAGGAUACAAAGGCCAGAUUUUCAAAAGAACUCUUCACCCAGCAUCUUCCUUUUACACAACUAACUAAAGUAGCCAGAUUUUCAAAAUCCACAGCUCCCUUUGACAGCAAGGAAAGCUGCUGCAUUCAAAGCAUUUCUGAAAACCCUGGUCACUUAAUUUGAGUGUCUAUUAGGAGCAGAGUUCUUUUGAAAAUCUAGCCCCAGCUGGGCGUGCCGAGCAUUCUGGAAAAUUGAUCCUUAUAUAUUUGCAAUGUAAAAGUUACAAGAAAUGUUAUGCUCCACAAAACUGUCUGCACCGUUAGCUUCUGAUAUGAUUGGUUUAUUUUGUUUGCCUAAAUUAAAUCCUAGUCCUGCAACACUUGCUCAUGCAAAUAAUUAUUUAUGCAAGCAAUUUCGUUAAAUAUUGAUGUCAGUGGGUAUUUUGUAUGAGUAAGUAGUCCAGAAUAAGGAGGGAAAUUCUAUUUAAAAGUUUUAUUAUCUCCAUCUAUUCUUUAUUUUUUAUUUUAUUUAUUAUUACAAAACCUCUUUUUGGUUAUCAAAAGUUACCAAAGAUACUUCCAAAGUAAAAAGAAUGCAUUUCUGUUAAGGAGAUGUAAAUGAAUUAUGUUGACAUGUUAAUCAGUGUUUAAUCUACAUGGUUCAAAAAGCUCUAGUGAACAUAAUAAAUUAACAAUGGUUAAUAUUUGUUCCUCUUCCUCCACUUUGGCAAAGCUCAUGUGACUUGUUCAUUUUAGAUUAUCCUCUUACUUAAAGUGAGGGUACAUUUCUUUGUAGUUAAGUACAUUAUUUAUUUGUAGGGCAAUAGCACGCAAGCCCCAGUCAGAAUUCGGGUCAUACUGUGCUAAGGUAUAUAGAAACUCAAAAAUUGAUUUGUUGUUUAUCUGAGAUAUAAAUAUACUACAAAAACAACUUGAAGCUACAUCCAUUUUGAGGGUACAAGUGCUUUAAAGAAGGAAAUGGCUAAAAUAUGGUGUGAUAAGUGAUUGCAUUUAGGAUUUUUUUGUGCCAAGACUUACGGAACAACUGACAUCAGGGAGUCUCCAAUUAGCUAGGCAAUGUGCAUAUUUAUUUUGGAGUUAACAGCAAUUAUACUAAACUAUUUAAUGACUUAACAAAAUGAUAUUUUUCUUUAAGGGCUCAUUUUUUAUUAACUACAGUGGUACUUUUCACAGCCUCGGAGUCAUAUCCAGGAGGAAAUGUAUGCCAUGAGAGUUAAGUUUUGACCCUCUUGUGAAACGUUAAGGGUGUGAAAUAUUUGCUGUGACAUUUGGUUUGUUUUUUGUUAUAAAAAAUUGCUUAGUGGAAGCCUUUCUGAAAACUGUAGACAUCUGGCAAGCUGUAUGGUCCAGCAGUUAGGUUGUGGGACUAGGCCUUAAGAGCCCUGGGUUCUAGUCCCAUCUUGUCCUAUGAAUCAACUGGGUGACCUUGUGAAAGACAUUUUUGCACCUGUUUUCUUGUCUGUAAAAUAGAGAUAUGAUCCUUAUUUGCUGAGAACUAUAGAUGAAAAGCGCUAUAUAAGUGCUAAGUAUUAUCAUUAUUAUUAGUGGAUGUCAUCUCAAAUUUGUCAGACACUGCCAUACUAUCCAACAAGUAUUGGUAAUACUAAUAACAAAGAACAUUUACUUUUAUUUUUUGCCUCAGUUUGUCUGUUUAGAUCAUCAUGGAUAGGAAAUGCUUAAGCCCUUUGAGAGGAUUAUAUAUAUUAUUUUAGGAACUUGAAUUUUUUACUGAAACUUGCCUUCAAUUCCUAUGUAAUUCAUCUAUCAUUUCCUCUGUGAAUUUCUCUGUUUAUUUUAGACCCAGUUACCUUAGGGCUUGUGUAUAACUGCAAUGGCAUGAAUUUUAUUAAAAAGGAAAUUAAUUUGUAUGCCUGCAUCUGAGGAUGCACAAUCUUUAGUAAUUACAAACAUCUGAAUUUUUUUCCCACUGUUGAAGACAAUCUGCCUUCAUUUGAGAUAACAUUUGUGUCUGGAAUAAAGCACAUAUUGUUUUGUUUUCUAAAGGAGAUAGUUUGUUGUAUGGUAGAUGCUUGAAAUUCGUGAGAAAGCUGGGAGUAUUGAAAUGGCAGAUAUGUUUCAAAAGUGCAAUGAAUGUGUUAAUUGUGUUGGUAUUUUGAACCUCAUGAUGCACAUUCCAAAUUAGCAGUUCUUUAUACCAUACUACCAUGGGACAUCUUAAUUUUCAACUCUUAAAAAUAUUGUUAUUGCAAGCAGCUAAGGCUGCACAAUUGCAGCACUUAAAGUACUAGAAUUAUCUAUGUAAAAUAUCUACUAGGUGCACUUUUUGCACCUUAAUUGAUAAAUGCAUUUGAAAAAGUCUGAUUUACGUUUAUAGAAAAAUCUAUUCUAAAAAAAUCAUUAUUCGUGUAAGUGUAUAUAACUUCCCUCUCUGAGGGAAGCAUUUUAACAAUUUUCUCAGAUAUGUACGCACGCGCACACACACAUAGUGUUGGCAAAAUAAUCUUGCAGUACUUUUACAUGUUGUUAUGGUUGCUGAAUGACAGCUGUGUGUAAUAUGUUAACAUUUUUCUUUUCUUGUUUUACAUAUGUCAAACUGUUAAAAUGUCUUAGUGGAAAAUAAAAGAAGGAUUAGAAAAGUUA